UACGAAGGGGGCUAGCGUUGCUCGGAAUCACUGGGCGUAAAGCGCACGUAGGCGGCUUUUUAAGUCAGGGGUGAAAUCCUGGAGCUCAACUCCAGAACUGCCUUUGAUACUGCAAAUCUCGAGUCCGGAAGAGGUGAGUGGAAUUCCUAGUGUAGAGGUGAAAUUCGUAGAUAUUAGGAAGAACACCAGUGGCGAAGGCGGCUCACUGGUCCGGUACUGACGCUGAGGUGCGAAAGCGUGGGGAGCAAACAGG
rnacentral:rRNA from 1 species